rnacentral:rRNA from 2 species
CCGGAUCUCAGAUCAAGCAA